UACGGAGGGAGCUAGCGUUAUUCGGAAUUACUGGGCGUAAAGCGCACGUAGGCGGCUUUGUAAGUUAGAGGUGAAAGCCCGGGGCUUAACUCCGGAACUGCCUUUAAGACUGCAUCGCUUGAAUCCAGGAGAGGUGAGUGGAAAUCCGAGUGUAGAGGUGAAAUUCGUAGAUAUUCGGAAGAACACCAGUGGCGAAGGCGGCUCACUGGACUGGUAUUGACGCUGAGGUGCGAGAGCGUGGGGAGCAAACAGG
rnacentral:rRNA from 1 species